UACGGGGGGAGCAAGCGUUGUUCGGAUUUACUGGGCGUAAAGGGCGCGUAGGCGGUCGUGACAAGUCACUUGUGAAAUCUCCGGGCUUAACUCGGAACGGUCAAGUGAUACUGUCGGACUAGAGUACAGAAGGGGGCAACUGGAAUUCUCGGUGUAGCGGUGAAAUGCGUAGAUAUCGAGAGGAACACCUGCGGCGAAGGCGGGUUGCUGGGCUGAUACUGACGCUGAGGCGCGAAAGCCAGGGGAGCGAACGGG
rnacentral:rRNA from 1 species